UACGUAGGGACGAGCGUUGUCCGGAAUUAUUGGGUUUAAAGGGUGCGUAGGCGGCCAUUUAAGUCAGCGGUGAAAUUUUGCAGCUUAACUGUAACAGUGCCGUUGAUACUGUUUGGCUAGGAUUUGGUUGUAGUGUGCGGAAUGUGUGGUGUAGCGGUGAAAUGCUUAGAUAUCACACAGAACACCGAUUGCGAAGGCAGCACACUAAGUCAUUAUUGACGCUGAGGCACGAAAGUGUGGGGAUCAAACAGGAUUAGAUACCCGGGUA
rnacentral:rRNA from 1 species